rnacentral:rRNA from 1 species
GAUGAACGCUAGCGGCAGGCUUAACACAUGCAAGUCGAGGGGCAGCAUGAAGGUUAGCAAUAACCUUUGAUGGCGACCGGCGCAAGGGUGCGUAACGCGUGAGCAACUUGCCCGUUUCAGGGGGAUAACCGGUGGAAACGCCGACUAAUACCCCAUGGCAUCGUGAUGAGGCAUCUCAUUACGAUUAAAGAGAUUCGGAAACGGNUAGGCUCGCGUGACAUUAGCUAGACGCGGGGUAACGGCCCACCGUGGCGACGAUGUCUAGGGGUUCUGAGAGGAAGGUCCCCCACACUGGAACUGAGACACGGUCCAGACUCCUACGGGAGCAGCAGGUGAGGAAUAUUGGUCAAUGGUCUGACGACUGAACCAGCC